AACGCAACACCGGAAAACGUCUUCCAAGAAUUGAUUAUUACUUUCAAGAUGGCUGAAAGAUAUGCGAAUUAGUAUUAAAAAAAAUGCACACAACAUUGUUUUCAGACGAUAAAUAAAUCAAAAUUUUAUUUGGAAAAGAAGUAGAAUGCAACAUUCAAAAAGUGACUUUUAGAUCAAGUCUGUAUAUCUGUC